rnacentral:tRNA from 1 species
GGGGCCGUGGUGCAGUUGGGAGCACACCUGAAUGGCAUUCAGGAGGUCACGGGUUCAACUCCCGUCGGCUCCACCA